AGUAACACGUGGGCAACCUUUCCUAUCGCGGGGGAUAACACCGGGAAACCGAUGCUAAUACCGCAUGUCGUCACUGGUCUCAUGGCUGGUGAAGAAAGCAGCAAUGCACGAUGGGGUGGGCCCGCGGCCUAUCAGCUAGUCGGUGGGGUAACGGCCUACCGAGGCGAUGACGGGUAGCUGGUCUGAGAGGACGACCAGCCACACGGGGACUGAGACACGGCCCG
rnacentral:rRNA from 1 species